AAUGAACGCUGGCGGCGCGCCUAAUACAUGCAAGUCGAGCGAGAAGACGUAGCAAUACGUUUGUAAAGCGGCGAACGGGUGAGGAAUACAUGGGUAACCUACCCUCGAGUGGGGAAUAACUAGCCGAAAGGUUAGCUAAUACCGCGUACGCUCCUUGGACUUCGGUUCAGGGAGGAAAGCGAUACCGUGGGUAUCGCGCUCUUGGUUGGGCUCAUGUCCUAUCAGCUUGUUGGUGAGGUAACGGCUCACCAAGGCUUCGACGGGUAGCUGGUCUGAGAGGACGAUCAGCCACACUGGCACUGCGACACGGGCCAGACUCCUACGGGAGGCAGCAGUAAGGAAUAUUGCGCAAUGGGCAAAGCCUGACGCAGCGACGCCGCGUGGGGGAUGAAAGUC
rnacentral:rRNA from 1 species